rnacentral:rRNA from 1 species
UACGGGGGGGGCAAGCGUUGUUCGGAAUUACUGGGCGUAAAGGGCUCGUAGGCGGCCAACUAAGUCAGACGUGAAAUCCCUCGGCUUAACCGGGGAACUGCGUCUGAUACUGGAUGGCUGGAGGUUGGGAGAGGGGUGCGGAAUUCCAGGUGUAGCGGUGAAAUGCGUAGAUAUCUGGAGGAACACCGGUGGCGAAGGCGGCAUCCUGGACCAAUUCUGACGCUGAGGAGCGAAAGCCAGGGGAGCAAACGGG